CUGUGCUAGAUGGGGAGCUAGCGGUGCCCUGUAACCUGCAAUCCGCUACAGCAGGAUCGAUGCCCAUCAAGAGGUUUGCUCAUCUUGACGCUCGCCUGAAAAAGCGAUGUCGAUGGUUCAAGCCCUGCGCAAUGGACGAGUACCCAACCCCGUCAGGACCGGAAGGUAGCAGCGGCAAGUAUAUAAUCCGUGUGCCGCAGGAAAUCUUGGCUGGAGUUGGCUGUUCAGGCCGUGUUUUGACGGAGGAAUCGAGGAUGGGUGCACAG
rnacentral:SRP_RNA from 1 species